GAUGAACGCUGGCGGCGUGCCUAAUACAUGCAAGUCGAGCGAACAGACGAGGAGCUUACUCCUCUGACGUUAGCGGCGGACGGGUGAGUAACGCGUGGAUAACCUACCUAUAAGACUGGGAUAACUUCGGGAAACCGGAGCUAAUGCCGGAUAACAUGUUGAACCGCAUGGUUCAACAGUGAAAGACGGUCUUGCUGUCACUUAUAGAUGGAUCCGCGUCGCAUUAGCUAGUUGGUAAGGUAACGGCUUACCAAGGCAACGAUGCGUAGCCGACCUGAGAGGGUGAUCGGCCACACUGGAACUGAGACACGGUCCAGACUCCUACGGGAGGCAGCAGUAGGGAAUCUUCCGCAAUGGGCGAAAGCCUGACGGAGCAACGCCGCGUGAGUGAAGAAGGUCUUCGGAUCGUAAAACUCUGUUAUUAGGGAAGAACAAAUGUGUAAGUAACUAUGCACGUCUUGACGGUACCUAAUCAGAAAGCCACGGCUAACUACGUG
rnacentral:rRNA from 1 species